UACGUAGGCUGCAAGCGUUAUCCGGAUUUAUUGGGCGUAAAGAGUUGCGUAGGCGGUAUGGUGCAUUCUGCUUGAAAUCCCGUGGCUUAACCACGGUUUUGGGCAGAAGAUGACCACACUCGAGGAAAAGAGAGGGUACUGGAACUGAUCAAGUAGCAGUGAAAUGCGUUGAUAUGAUCGGGAACACCAAAGGCGUAGGCAGGUACCUAACUUUUUCCUGACGCUGAAGCACGAAAGCUGGGGGAGCGAAACAG
rnacentral:rRNA from 1 species